rnacentral:rRNA from 1 species
UUCCGGUUGAUCCUGCCGGACCUGACUGCUAUUGGAGUGGGACUAAGUCACGCUAGUCAAAGGUGCAGAAUGGAGCACCUGGCGCACGGCUCAGUAACACGUAGUGAACCUGCCCUGAGGACGGGGACAACCGCGGGAAACUGCGGCUAAUACCCGAUAAGAAACUUGGCCUGGAACGGUAUUUUUCUUAAAACCGGCUCGCCGUGAGACACGGGCCUUAGGAUGGCGCUGCGGCUGAUUAUGCUUGAUGGUGGUGUAAUGGACCACCAUGGCGUCGAUCAGUAUGGGCGAUGGAAGUCGGAGCCCAGAGUCGGCCACUGAGACAAGGGGCCGAGCCUUACGAGGCUUAGCGGUCGCGAAACCUCGCCAAUGCACGAAAGUGUGAGUGGGCUACUCCAAGUGUCAUUCUUACGGAUGACUGUCGCUCAGUAUUACAAGCUGAGAAAGGAAGGAGAGGGCAAGGCUGGUGCCAGCCGCCGCGGUAAAACCAGCUCUUCGAGUGGUCAGGACGAAUAUUGGGUCUAAAGCGCUCGUAGCCGGGCAAGUAGGUUCCUGGUUAAAUCCGACAGCUUAACUGUUGGGCCGCUGGGAAUACCGCUAGCCUUGGAAGCGGGAGAGGACAGAGGUAGUCAUGGGGCAGGGGUGAAAUCCAGUGAUCCCAUGGCGACCACCGAUGGCGAAGGCAUCUGCCUGGAACGUAUUCGACGGUGAGGGGCGAAAGCCAGGGGAGCGACCCGGAUUAGAUACCCGGUUAGUCCUGGCCGUAAACGAUGCGGACUAGGUGUUGCACCGGCCAAGAGCCGCUGCAGUGCCACAGCGAAGGCGUUAAGUCCGCCACCUGGGGAGUACGUAUGCAAGUAUGAAACUUAAAGGAAUUGACGGGGGCGCACCACCAGGGGUGAAGCCUGCGGUUUAAUUGGAUUCAACGCCGGAAA